UACGGAGGGUGCGAGCGUUGUUCGGAAUCACUGGGCGUAAAGGGCGUGUAGGCGGUCCGCUAAGUCUGAUGUGAAAGCCCGGGGCUCACCCCCGGAAGUGCAUUGGAAACUGGCGAACUCGAGUCCCGGAGAGGAGAGUGGAAUUCCUGGUGUAGCGGUGAAAUGCGCAGAUAUCAGGAGGAACACCGGUGGCGAAGGCGGCUUGCUGGGCCAGUUCUGACGCUGAGGAGCGAAAGCGUGGGGAGCGAACAGG
rnacentral:rRNA from 1 species